AGGCACCCCCUUUCCCAUCCCUACUGCCACCAUUCACAGGGAAGAGAAAAGCUGCCCUCCCUGCCCAGAAGACCCACUGGCUUGGCCGGGGCACGGGGUCAGGCUCCACCCACCCCCCUCACACACACCCCCGCCAGCUCACCGAUGUUGGGGUGCUUCAGCAGGCGGCAGAUGCGGGCUUCGCGCUCCAGCUUCUGAUGAUCUGAAACACAGACACCCAGCUGAGUCCCAGGCCUAUUUCUGCAUUCCCGUCCUGCAUGAGCAAGUGGCCACAGCCCAGCAGCCUUGGCAAACAACAAAAAAGCCAGCCCAGUCCUCCCACGGCCCUGAGGCCCUGAGCCGAGCAGGCUGCAGCCACCCACAGCCAGGCUCCAGAAGAUGCGGCAGGGACUCGGUGUCUUUGAGCUGUCCCCUACCCCACAGACCUGCCCCAUGCCAACCCAGCAGAAGUCUCGUGGGGGACACAGAAGGCCUGGGAACCGGAAGAUUCUGUUUGCUGCGGGGAACAUUGAACCAACAGAAGUCCCAACAUAUUUCUUGUUUUGGCUGUGCCUGGGUUUUCUUGAAUGGGUUACAAAAAGGGAACUUGAAAAAUAUUCUCAGACCUUGGAGAUGGGACCAGAGCAGACAGAGCAGGGGGCGAUGAGGAAGGUCUGCUUUCUCCCCAGGCUACAUCCACCUGCACACCCUGAAGGCUUCCAGAGGUUCAGAGAGAGAGGCUCCAAGGGCUAAGGGGGCCAAGCGCCAGACUGGAAAGAGGCUGGAGUGCCCUACUUUUGUGUGUCUUUGGCUUGCGUGACUUUGCCCAGGACCCUGGCCCUUUCUGGGCCUGAGUUCUCCAUCUGAAAGACAAAGGAGCACUCCUCAUUCCGAGUGAGCCUGAGGAUAUUCUGGCCCCUAAACCAUCUCCCACUUCAUGCUUGUGGCAUCUCACCAGCCAAGGCAGGAGGAAGAUGGAGGCAAGGGGUGGGGAGGGCUGUGAGUGUGUGCCUGUCUGGGGACACACU